CACGAACGGAUGAACGCAAACAGCAGCGUUAAUAGUAGCAACUUCAGCAGUGCAAACAGCACCGGAAGCAGCAGCGGAUGUAGUAGUAGUAGUUGUAGUAAUAGUAGUAGCAUUUGCAACGAUGUUAUAAACUGGUUUCCAUUUUAAUUUUUUUUCUUCAAACGAAUACGGAAGCAAUAAAAGUUCAAGAAUGCUAACGACCACAACAACACGAGCAACGAUUUCGGAAUUAAGGAAGAAAAGGACAAUAAGAACAACUGCAGCAACAACAACACCGUACAACAACAACAACAACAACAACAUCAACACCAACGACGACGAAGACGACAAUGGCGGCGACAACUGCAAUACACAAGGAUGCAAUAAGAGUGUCAUCUGUUCGCUGUCUUCUUGAGCAGAACUGUUUAACCUGCCCGAGAUGUAUCUAGGCAAGCCUCAAGAUUACCAAAAACGUGCAACUCCGUGGACCAAUCAAACAGACACAGAUCGUUCUGGUAACCACACGACGCCUCAUGGAAAGAUCGUCUAAAGAGAUUAUCCUCUCGCAGCUACAAAUAAUGGUUGGUGUCUGAAGAUAAUUUGCACAGUCUUCGUCGAUUUCUAAAUUAUUUCAAAUGGUACCAAAUGGUACCAAAUGAUGCCAAAUGAUGCGAAAUAAUGCAUUUCGCUUUUGCAUGAGAAAUACGUAAAGGAGACGUUUUGCUUCAGGACUGGAUGGAUGUAGCCUUUUCCCUCGAGGUG
rnacentral:lncRNA from 1 species